CGAAAGUCAGAGGUUUGAAGGCGAUCAGAUACCGCCCUAGUUCUGACCGUAAACAAUGCCACCUGACGAUCCACCAGGGUUACUACCAUGACUCGGCAGGCAGUCCCCGAGAAACCCAAACCUUCGGGUUCCGGGGGAAGUAUGGUUGCAAAGCUGAAACUUAAAGGAAUUGAUGGAAGGGCACCAUCAGGAGUGGAGUCUGCGGCUUAAUUUGACUCAACACGGAAACCUCACCCAGCCCGGACACCGUGAGGAUUGACAUAUUGAAAGCUCUUUAUCGAUUUGGUGGGUGGUGGUGCAUGGCCGUUCUUAGUGGGUGGAGCGAUUGGUCUGGUUAAUUCCGAUAAUGAAUGAGAUUCUAGCUGGUUAAGUAGCCUGAGCGGUUUUUAAUCUUUGCCGUCCAUCCUCGUCCUGACCUUCCGCACUUUUUUUUUUGCACCGCCCUUUCCAUACUGCCAUCAUCCCAUAUGCUUCUCCAUUUCAGUGGGGUCACAUCUCAGGCACUGGCAGUUUUCUGUAGGGGCGGUGCGGGAGGAGUAUGUGGGACGAUUUCAGGUGGAAGCAUAACCGAAGGCCGCCGGCUUUUAAGGAAGCUUCUUAGAGGGACGAGUGGUGUUCAGCCGCCCGAGAUUGA
rnacentral:rRNA from 1 species